rnacentral:rRNA from 1 species
GUGGGGAAUCUUGCGCAAUGGGCGAAAGCCUGACGCAGCAACGCCGCGUGCGGGAUGACGGCCUUCAAGGUUGUAAACCGCUUUCAGCAGGGACGAAAAUGACGGUACCUGCAGAAGAAGCCCCGGCUAACUACGUGCCAGCAGCCGCGGUAAUACGUAGGGGGCAAGCGUUGUCCGGAUUCAUUGGGCGUAAAGAGCUCGUAGGCGGUUCAGUAAGUCGGGUGUGAACGCUCCGAGCUCAACUCGGAGAGGCCACCCGAUACUGCUGUGACUUGAGUACAGUAGGGGAGCGUGGAAUUCCUGGUGUAGCGGUGAAAUGCGCAGAUAUCAGGAGGAACACCAGCGGCGAAGGCGGCGCUCUGGGCUGUAACUGACGCUGAGGAGCGAAAGUGUGGGUAGCAAACAGGAUUAGAAACCCGAGUAGUCC